rnacentral:rRNA from 1 species
UACGUAGGGUGCAAGCGUUAAUCGGAAUUACUGGGCGUAAAGCGUGCGCAGGCGGUUAUGUAAGACAGGUGUGAAAUCCCAGGGCUUAACCUUGGAACCGCAUUUGUGACUGCAUAGCUAGAGUACGGUAGAGGGGGAUGGAAUUCCGCGUGUAGCAGUGAAAUGCGUAGAUAUGCGGAGGAACACCGAUGGCGAAGGCAAUCCCCCUGGACCUGUACUGACGCUCAUGCACAAAAGCGUGGGGAGCAAACAGG